rnacentral:rRNA from 1 species
UAGUCAGGGUUCCUACAUGCGUGAGAACGCCAACGGAUGGUCGGCUGCUUUUGUACGGAACGAAAAGACUUCUUCUAAUACAGGAGGUCCAUGACGGUACCGUAAGAAUAAGCACCGGCUAACUACGUGCCAGCAGCCGCGGUAAUACGUAGGGUGCAAGCGUUAAUCGGAAUUACUGGGCGUAAAGCGUGCGCAGGCGGUUAUAUAAGACAGAUGUGAAAUCCCCGGGCUCAACCUGGGAACUGCAUUUGUGACUGUAUAGCUAGAGUACGGUAGAGGGGGAUGGAAUUCCGCGUGUAGCAGUGAAAUGCGUAGAUAUGCGGAGGAACACCGAUGGCGAAGGCAAUCCCCUGGACCUGUACUGACGCUCAUGCACGAAAGCGUGGGGAGCAAACAGGAUUAGAUACCCUGGUAGUCCACGCCCUAAACGAUGUCAACUGGUUGUUGGGUCUUCACUGACUCAGUAACNAAGCUAACGCGUGAAGUUGACCGCCUGGGGAGUACGGCCGCAAGGUUGAAACUCAAA